rnacentral:rRNA from 1 species
AGGACGAACGCUGGCGGCGUGCUUAACACAUGCAAGUCGAGCGGUAAGGCUCCUUCGGGAGUACACGAGCGGCGAACGGGUGAGUAACACGUGAGCAAUCUGCCCUUCACACUGGGAUAACCCCGGGAAACCGGGGCUAAUACCGGAUGCGACCACCGACGGCAUCGUCUGGUGGUGGAAAGUUCCGGCGGUGGAGGAUGAGCUCGCGGCCUAUCAGCUUGUUGGUGGGGUAAUGGCCUACCAAGGCUUCGACGGGUAGCCGGCCUGAGAGGGUGACCGGCCACACUGGGACUGAGACACGGCCCAGACUCCUACGGGAGGCAGCAGUGGGGAAUAUUGGACAAUGGGCGAAAGCCUGAUCCAGCAACGCCGCGUGAGGGAUGACGGCCUUCGGGUUGUAAACCUCUUUCAGUAGGGACGAAGCGAAAGUGACGGUACCUACAGAAGAAGGACCGGCCAACUACGUGCCAGCAGCCGC